AGAGAGAGACAUGCGCGCAUAUCAAUAAGCGGAGGAAAAGAAACUAACAAGGAUUCCCCUAGUAACGGCGAGUGAAGCGGGAAGAGCUCAAAUUUGAAAUCUUAAGGGGUUUCCCUUUACGAAUUGUAGUUUAAAGAAGUGUUUUCUGUUGAGGUUUUGGUAAAAGUUCUUUGGAAUAGGACAUCAUAGAGGGUGAGAAUCCCGUAUUUGACCUUUACUUUCAACUUUGUGAUACACUUUCAAAGAGUCGGAUUGUUUGGGAAUGCAGUCCAAAAUGGGUGGUAAAUUUCAUCUAAAGCUAAAUAUUGGCGAGAGACCGAUAGCGAACAAGUACCGUGAGGGGAAGAUGAAAAGAACUUUGAAAAGAGAGUUAAACAGUACGUGAAAUUGUCAAAAGGGAAGCGUUUGACACCAGUGUUGUUUUUCUGAAAAUCAAUUAAAGAACUGUUUAUGCUAAGCUGUUUAGACUUUAUCAGCUAACUGUUUAGUUUUGAGCUUUUCUUUAAUGCACUUUUCAGUUAACAAGUCAACAUCAAUUUCUUUUGCUGUAAAAAAGCUUGAGGAAGGUGGCUUGAGAUUCGUCUUAAGUGUUUAUAGCCUCUUGCCUAUGCAGUCGGAGAGAUUGAGGUCUGCAGCGUAGAUCCUUCGGGGCUAAAUGCAUUUGUGCUAAGUUAUAGCAUUUUAUAGACAACUUGUUGACUAUGAUUUGUCUUGUAGCUUACUCGCUUAUGUUAUUUUACCUACGCUUAGGAUGUUGAGCGCAUGUCUCUCUCU
rnacentral:rRNA from 1 species